UUCAGUGGAUCCACAGACAGACAGACAGCCUGUCCACCCCAGCCAGUGACCGCAGGCAUGUUGGCCAAACGUGCACAUCAGCCCCGGCACUUUGCCCUAGAAAUGGAAGCCGCGAGAGUCCAGAGCCCAAGGCCAGAGAUGGAACCCACAGCACGUCCUUCUCAUGGCCAUGUCACCAGGCAGCAGGAUGGCAUUGGACUGCCGAUACAGAGAACCACGUGCUGCGGCGGGGUUCAGGCUCAACCCACGGCAGCUCUGACUCACUGGGACAAGGAGCAUUCCAGGAAAAAAAGGCUGAAUUUUCUCUCCCUCUCCCUCCCGCCCAGCCAAAACGAAGUUGAACCUCAGCUAACUAACGCAAGCAAGGAUCUAAAUAGGAGUGUGAUGCUGCUGCGAGCUGCACUAGCUCAUAGGAACUGCUGGCAUGGUGAUGGCAUACAAAAGCAGGCCAAGCUCCCAAGUGCUGGUGCAUACAUGAGUCAUUCCAUACACGUCUGCCAUGAAAAGGAAACACCUCUGAGUCCAACUUUCCCUUGGUAAAAAGAAAUGCUUAGACAUCAGAAGAGUUUGAUUUUGUAUACAACAUGGAUAAAACCAUUCUUGCUGCAAUUAAAACUGCAUGUAUUCAAUUCAGUAAAGUGAGAUUUCAUUCCCCA